rnacentral:tRNA from 4 species
GGGCUCGUGGUGGAAUGGUAUACACGCCAGUCUUAGGAACUGGUGCCGAAAGGAUUGUGAGUUCGAGUCUCACCGGGCCUAC